rnacentral:rRNA from 1 species
ACAACUUUCAGCAACGGAUCUCUUGGCUCUCGCAUCGAUGAAGAACGCAGCGAAAUGCGAUAAGUAAUGUGAAUUGCAGAAUUCAGUGAAUCAUCGAAUCUUUGAACGCACCUUGCGCUCCUUGGUAUUCCGAGGAGCACACCUGHUUGAGHGHCAUGAA